AGAGUUUGAUCCUGGCUCAGAUUGAACGCUGGAGGCGUGCUUAACACAUGCAAGUCGUGCGAGAAAGGGACUUCGGUCCUGAGUAGAGCGGCGCACGGGUGAGUAACGCGUGGGUGAUCUCCCUUGGUGAUCGGGAUAACAGCGGGAAACUGCUGCUAAUACCGGAUAAUCUUCAUGUUUAACUUCAUGGGGUAAAGGUGGCCUCUGCUUGCAAGCUACCACACCGAGAUGAGCCCGCGUCUCAUUAGCUAGUUGGUAGGGUAAUGGCCUACCAAGGCUACGAUGAGUAGCUGGUCUGAGAGGAUGACCAGCCACACUGGGACUGAGACACGGCCCAGACUCCUACGGGAGGCAGCAGUGGGGAAUAUUGGACAAUGGGCGCAAGCCUGAUCCAGCCAUGCCGCGUGAGUGACGAAGGUCUUCGGAUUGUAAAGCUCUGUCGAGGGGAAAGAAGUGUAUUGUGGCUAAUAUCCACGAUACUUGACGGUACCCCUAAAGGAAGCACCGGCUAACUCCGUGCCAGCAGCCGCGGUAAUACGGGGGGUGCAAGCGUUGUUCGGAAUUAUUGGGCGUAAAGCGCGUGUAGGCGGUUUGUUAAGUCUGAUGUGAAAGCCCUGGGCUCAACCCAGGAAGUGCAUUGGAAACUGGCAGACUUGAAUACGGGAGAGGGUAGUGGAAUUCCUAGUGUAGGAGUGAAAUCCGUAGAUAUUAGGAGGAACACCGGUGGCGAAGGCGGCUACCUGGACCGAUAUUGACGCUGAGACGCGAAAGCGUGGGUAGCAAACAGGAUUAGAUACCCUGGUAGUCC
rnacentral:rRNA from 1 species